rnacentral:sRNA from 1 species
ACCUAACCCGACAGCUUGCUGGCGGUAUGGUUGUAAAUACCCGCUAGAGAUUAAAGGACUCCCAGUCAGAGUCACUCUAGCGGGUCAUAUCUGGAAACGGGUAUGGGUCUGGCCGAAAG